UUUUUUUUUUUUUUUUUGCUGUGUCCAUGGCAUGUGGAAGUUCCCAGGUCAGAGGUUUAACCUACAUCACAACAACAGCAACUCAAGCCGAUGCAGGGACAAUGGCAGAGCCUUAACCUGCUGUGCCCCAAGGGACUUGUGGCAAUGCUUUGGUAGGCCUGCGGUCAUGCAGGGACUUCAGCCACUCUGCAUAACCAUCUAGACUCAGAGGGUCCUGCAGACAGAGGUCUCUCAGAUGCCUCAGGGGCCUUGGCUAGUGGGCACAACUGCUAUGAAAACCAUCCAACAGGAGGUCAUUUUCCUGUUGGACACGUGGUCUUCAAAUGGAAAAUAGUGACUUUUAUUUGACAUUGAGACCACCUGGGCAGAGCGUAGCACACAGGUGUGUUGAAGAGGAAGUCGUGGGCUUCACUCUGGGUGCUGAGCCGGCACCGUGAGGUAGGAUAGCGUGGUGCCUCUGUGAGACACGGACCUUUGAAUAACGGACAGGAAAGGUGGUGUCAGAUCCUGCUGUGGGUAGUUAUUUCCGAGCCCGAAACAGGGCAGUGGGAGACCUUGGUCAAGCUGGAGGGCACAUGGCUGGCAAGUCCAAGUGCAUUGCCAGCUCCUGGCCGGGGGCAGGGGGCGUCACCACCUCACCCCAGGGGCAGCCUGUAGGGAGGAGGGCAAGGUUGUCCCCAGAUACAAAGCUUUUGUGGGUGCGGGUGGGUUUCGGGUUGUUUUGUUUUAAAUAAUGUAUGAUUCUUGUCUUUUUGUAAAGGGAGGGUGCUGACCCGCUUUGUAGAGCUUCCUGCCAGCUGCAGCCCUCUGGGCUUCUACUUGUGUUUGAGACCCGGCGGGGCGUGCGACCACGCAGCUCGCUUGGAGCACAGCCGCACGGGGGUCAGUUGGGCAGGAGAACUGGCCGGCUCGUCUGACUGGCCUCGAACACCCAGGCCCUGGCCCUACAGUCACCUCUGUGUUUCUAGAGCUCGUUUUCAGGGAUGGGAGGGGCUGGACACAACAGGGACGAACCAGGGGCUGGCCAUCGCCACGACACCCGUGAAUGGAGGAAGGUGGAAGCAUCGGGCAGGUCAUGUGAGACCUGCCUUGUCCAGCUCUCAUUCUGGUGCGCUUUGGCCUGCGGAAGACUGGAAAGGAGAGGAACCAGGAAGGGAACGGUCUGGUACUGUCUGUCUGUCCAUCCGCCCCCCCCCACCCCCACCCCGGCCCCGACAGCUGAGCAGCGAAUGUAUUUGACCCUCAGAGAACUUUUUUAGAAAUGCCCAGGCUUGGAUUCGGGUUUCUGUUCCACGUACCACCACAUCUUCUGGGAUGAGGCAGGGAAACAGGUCUUUUUUGGCAAACACUAGGAUUCUUUUAAUAUUAAAGGUGUUUUAGGUGAAUCUUCUGAACUUCCUGUAAUAGAGUUGACAAAACAUCCUGCCUUGACAGGGUCUCUCUUUGGAAACAUUUCACCAUCCUGUGUCUGUGUAGAAGACAGGCAGGCUGCCUGCCUGCAGCUUCCACUGACGGAGAACGGAGGCCUCCACCGUCGAAACUUUAUAGCCGGUAGAAGCGCAGGACAGCCCUGGAAUCGGGCCGGCGACCUGUGUGGGACGGUGACUGAGUAGCAGGGCCCCGCCCAUGGAGUCAUUUGGGGGAGUUUCUAACAUGGAUAGACAGCAUGUGCAGUCUGACAGUUCUGCGUCAAACGGCAAGAGGGUACAUGUAAAAGUUCCUGAAGAGGAGUUCCCGUCGUGGCGCAGUGGUUAACGAAUCCAACUAGGAACCAUGAGGUGGCAGGUUUGGUCCCUGGCCUUGCUCAGUGGGUUAAGGAUCCGGCAGCUUCGUUUUUGCUGAACCACGACGGGAACCUGCAGUAGGUUCUUAUCUGGUGGUUGGUCAGUAAGAGCCACUGAUGAACAGGGAGGGAGGCGUCGUGUAACGCCGGUGUGUGGAGAGGCUUUUAUCUGCUCUGCUUGGCCUCACUGUUCUCCUGCCUCUCCUUGCCCCUCAUUAGCACAGGCCCGAAUUUAGGCCGCGUCUUCCUUGCUCUCUAUAGAGGAGCAGCGGGCAGUCCCCUCCCUGGCUUGUGGGCCUAUGCUUUUGACUCUCUAUUGGGGGAAACUGUGGUUUGCUUACUUGCAAAUCUGCCUGCUCUUCAGUCCCCUGAGAAGGAGUAGGUUAUCAACAUAACAUUUUGUGCAGAAAGCAGGGUGGAGGAGAAGAAGCCAUUUUCACAGUGGGACUCAUUUUAAUACCUACAGUGUUUUCCAAACAGUUAUGUAAGAGGACUGAGUCGAAGUUGCUUUUCAGAAGUCCUGGUGAGUUUCUGACUGUGACACACUAGUUAAAAUUCACCAGAGGGAGUUAAUUUUGAAAGCUCUCAGCCAGGGGUUAAUGCAGAGUUCUCUUUCAGCCGUGUCUGUAACCUAGCCCCUCUCUACAGCCUCUCUUCUCUGCUGUAGACGCAGAUUGCAUCCCGCACUCGAGCUGAGCCAUGUCGGGAGUUUCCCGGGCAGUCGAGGGAGAUGGCCUUCUUCUCCGGUCUGUCCAGCUGGUGCUCUUCAGGGUGCAAUCCAAUGUGACACGAAGCAUAGUUUUUUUGAAAUAGGUGGGGCAGGUAUUUUAUAGCCAAUUUAAAAGAGGAACAAGCCGAGGCAAGAAUAAAUGAUGGGAAUAUAGCCUUUUUCCUGGUCAUUUGUAGGUCUUUGAGAAACACUUAAAGUCUUGAAAUGGGAGUUCCCUUGUGGUGCAGUGGGUUAAGGAUCUGGCAUUGUCUCUGCAGUGGCUUGGGUCGCUGCUGUGGCAAAGGUUUGAUUCCUGCCUGUCCUGGGAACUUCCACAUGCUUUGGGCGCAGCCAAAAAAAAAGAAAGACCACACCAAAGUCUUAAGAUGCAGAUGCAGGCGGCAGGUGCCCAUCACUCGCAGAGCCACACACUGUCCCUGAGGUUCCUGAUUGUUGACAUUUGUCACCCUUGACCCCCCCCCACACACACACACCCUGUCUCGAGGAUUUGGUGACAUUUGGUUAGUUUUCCCAUCUGUAAAAUGGGGAUUUAGCAAUCCUGCCUCAUAAGGUUGUCAUGAUGCUUAAAUGAGUCAGUUCGUGUAGACCCCUUAAGAUAGUGCCUGGUGCUCCUCGGUGUUUUGCCAAUUUUAUAGUUUGUUUUGGUGGUUUUUUUGGUGGGGGGGUGGCCACACCCACAGCAUGUCGAAGUUCCCAGGCCAAGGAUUGAACCUGUGUCACGGCAGUAACCCAAGCCACUGCAGGGACAAUGCCGAAUCUUUAACCCACUGCGCCACAGGGAAUUCCCAGCUCCUUUGGAGUUGAAUGGGGUGGCGUUUCCCCUGCGUUUCUCACAUCACCGUAUAUAACAGGGAAGCUGUCUGCUCCAGGCCACCCUGCCACCCUGCCAGGGUCGGAGGAUCGGCGGGAGGGUCAGCUCUGGGCAGCCAGUGGGGCAGUCAUUGCCCGUGGGCACAGGGCUUGUGAGGCUCAGACGUGAGGGCCUUUUGAACAUGUUACUUUAUCAGAAGAGAGAAUGCGCGUCGUGGCCCAGUUGUGUUGAGCCCCAUUAAGAAUCUCCCAUUUCAAAAGCGGCUGUGUGUGCAUGGCCAUGUCAGACCUUCCUCUGUGGAGCGGAGGAGCAGGCCCAGGUCCUACGACUUCCAAGUUUGGUUUUUUAAUGAUUUUUAUUUUUUCCAUUAUACUUGGUUUACAGUAUUCUGUCAACUUUUUUUUGUUUUUGUGUGUGUGUGUGUGUGUGUGUGUGUGUGUGUGUGUGUGUUUUGUCUUUUGAGGGCUGUACCCAUGGCAUAUGGAGGUUCCCAGGCUAGGGGUCCAAUCAGAGCCAUAGCUACCGGCCCACGCCAGAGCCACAACAAUGCAGGAUCCGAGCUGCAUCUGCAACCCACAGCACAGAUCACGGCAAUGCCGGAUCCUUAACCCACUGAGCAAGGCCAGGGAUUGAACCCACAACCUCAUGGUUAGUAGUCAGGUUCACUAACCACUAAGCCAUGACAGGAACUCCCUCAAUUUUCUGCUGUAUAGCAGAGUGACCCAGUGUCUCUCUCUCUCUCUCUCUCUCUCUCUCACACACACACACACACACACACACACACACACACAUUCUUUUUCUCACAUUAUCCACCAUCAUGUACCAUCACAAGGGACUAGAUUUAGUUCUGUGUGCAGUAUUCAGAAUCUCAUUGCUUAUCCACUCCAAAUGCAAUAGUUUGCAUCUAUUAACCCCAGACUAGGACUUCCGAGUUUGAAUCUCAUAUUCUUUCCAUUAUAGCAAAAAUGAGAAAUAGAGCUCUCCAGAUGCUAUUAAAACCCAAACUUAGCUGUAAGUUCUGUGUUCAGGUAACUCACUUUUAAAAAAAUGUUCCCUACCAGGAACCUAUAGGUAGGUAACUCCUGAUGGCGACAUGAAGUUUCAGCUCCAUAAGAGCAAAACUACAGCAGUUUGUUUAAAAUCUGGGGCAUACUUACGUAGCGUGGUGAAAGUGCUGUCACUACCAGGGCCAUCCUAGUGUGGUAUAUAAAUGUCUCCAAUUAACACGUACACAUUGUAACUCGAUGUCAUACGCUGAAAUACAUUUCCAUAAAGAAAAACUGGAGCACAGUCACAAACUAAGUUGUAAGACAAAGCACAGCACCGUCUCCAAUCCGUAAAUAAAUGUGUAUUUAUAUUUGGAUCUCAUCUGGCCAUGUGGAUUCAGAAAAAGAAGAGGAUUGGUUUUGUGCUCCCAGGGAACAUGCAGGUUGAUGGGAAACACGCAGCACCAGAGAAACCAGUGCCAACGCCCCAGGAUCCUCAGCUCGUGGGUCUAAGGGUAGCCAGUCUGCCAGCCUGUGGUGCAAGCAAGGCAGGGCUGCCUGGAGCUCAGGCAGUGCCCCAGCCACAGUUCUCGCCCUGGCCAGUCUUCUUCCUCCUUCACCCUUGGCUUCUUAGCUUUCUAGCAUCUCCUCACCGUCAGGGACAGAACAGCCAGUGGGCAUGGCAUCAUUCAUGAGGCUCAUUCGCUGGAAGUGCUCAAUUUCAUCUCAGCUGCUAGAGUGCUGUCAAGAAACAGAUCGUGUCUGUGAACUUUCAUUUAGAGGCUUCUGGUACCUGUCCGUUUGUAAGUCAGCAGUGUCAGUUAUAAAAUUAGAGUCCCCAUUCGAAGAGAUGAAUUAUUAGAAGGAAACCCGUUUAACAUACUGAUUUAUCCUAAGCAUUGACGGCUCUGAUGGGUCGGCUUGGUUUCGAUUUGAAAGUCU
rnacentral:lncRNA from 1 species